ensembl:lncRNA
AGCCGUUAGGAGAAACAUAGGAAGGCUUAGGACCUUGCAAUGGGUCGUUUCUAUACUUGCUUGUGCCAAUUAUAAUCCAUGAAGCCAAGGCAGCUCAUGUUGGUGUCAACUGGUUUUCCUGAUGGAUUCGACCUGGGGAACUUCCCGAGUGGAGGAGGACUGGAUUUGAGGAACCUCGUGCAGGAGGGGCUGGACCUGGUUCAAGUAAGCAUGUGUUACAGCCUUCCAUAAGGGGAAAGAACACGAGAGGCGAUAAUAGGAAAAGCAUUUCACAGGAGGGCAGCAGAUAAGAAUAGACUUGCUGUGUUUACAUGGCAGCUUCCCCAGAUGUGCUUUGCUAGGCUGCUUGCUGACAGAAAGCUGCUGACGCACUCCUGACUCUGCCAUCACCAUUACCUCCAAACUUGGCUGUAUUUUUAGAAGGAGACAAGCCACAGUUGCUGGAUGCAGCGACUGUUGUGGCAACACAUCCUUAGGUAAUCCACAUGCAGCAGGAUGUCAGCCUGGGGAAACAGGGUCAGCUGCGAACAGAGCACAGAAAGCUUUUAGUCCCUCUGAGAUCACUUUUCCCUUCUGAUAUUCCUGGAACGAGCGCGUCUGUGCUGACCAAAGCAGUGCUGGUUCUGCUUCUCCAGCUGAGCUUCAGUUCUCUGGCACUUCCUACAUGCCCUGAAACACUGCCUGCAGCCCUCGGCUCAGACCUGUCGUGGAACCUGGCCCUGCACAAGUGCAACCACUGCUGCCACCCACUGCCACAGCUGCGGGAUAAAGCUGAAGCAUCCUCCCACUCUUGUCAUGUACAGAAAGAAGCACACUCCACAAUUAAAGCCAAGUUUAUUGUUAGUAUCAUAGAACGGCCUGGGUUGAAAAGGACCACAAUGAUCACCUAGUUUCAACCCCCCUGCUAUGUGCAGGGUCACCAACCAUCAGACCAGGCUGCCCAGAGGCAUAUCCAGCCUGGUCUUGAAUGCCUCCAGGGAUGGGUCAUUCAUAGCCUCCUUGGGCAACCUAUUCCAGUGUGUCACCACCCGAUGGGUGCAAAACUUCCUCCUAAUAUCUAACCUAAACCUCCCCUGUCUCAGUUUAAAACCACUCCCCUUGUAAACCAUUCCCCCACUUCCCCCAGAAGCCGCCUGACAUGGCCCUGGGCACCCUGCUCUGGGUGUCUCUGCUGGAGCAGGGGUGGGCCAGGCGGACACAGAGGUGCCUUCCCCUCUUAAUUAGUCUGCAGUUCUCUGUGUGAUUCUUCUUCCUCAUCCCAUUGUCCAUUUGCCAAACAAGCCAUCAUCCAUCAGCCAAACAAGCUAAAACAACCCACCAGGAAGGUGAGGAGCAGCUCAAACCAAGCAGAUCCAUCAAGUCCCAGGAGCCUGCAGGGCUGGCACAAAGCCUUGUUGCUAGCCACGGCAAUGCUGCAUUCACGGAGCUGUCCACAGGGAUCUGCACUCAGGGACUGCUUGGGGGAGAGCCCAAACGUUUCACAAACCAUUGUCAGGGACAGUUAUCUAUACACUAUCUAAAGCUGUAUCCAGUUUUGGUAAACCCGAGAAAUAGAUGAAAUGGACUAAACCUUUCUCUUUUCACAUAAUUCUGCCUGAACAUGGUUUAACUUUAUAAACAUCUAUCAUUUCUAGCCACCUGCAAUCUCAUAAACGAUUUCUUGUUGGAGGGCUAUACAGGAUGAUAUGGGAUUCAGAGAGUAACUGCAGAACUGAGUACUUGCUUCUCAG